AUACGGAGGGGGUUAGCGUUGUUCGGAAUUACUGGGCGUAAAGCGUACGUAGGCGGAUUAGUAAGUUAGAGGUGAAAUCCCAGGGCUCAACCCUGGAACUGCCUUUAAUACUGCUAGUCUAGAGUUCGAGAGAGGUGAGUGGAAUUCCAAGUGUAGAGGUGAAAUUCGUAGAUAUUUGGAGGAACACCAGUGGCGAAGGCGGCUCACUGGCUCGAUACUGACGCUGAGGUACGAAAGUGUGGGGAGCAAACAGGAUUAGAUACCCUGGUAGUCCACGCCGUAAACGAUGGUUACUAGCUGUUUGGACCUUGUGUCUGAGUGGCUAAGCGAAAGUGAUAAGUAACCCACCUGGGGAGUACGUUCGCAAGAAUGAAACUCAAAGGAAUUGACGGGGGCCCGCACAAGCGGUGGAGCAUGUGGUUUAAUUCGAUGCGACGCGAAGAACCUUACCUACUCUUGACAUACUAGAAACUUUUCAGAGAUGAAUUGGUGCCUUCGGGAAUCUAGAUACAGGUGCUGCAU
rnacentral:rRNA from 1 species